AUGACGCACGAGGCGGAAGGCCGCAAGGCCGAGGACUAGUGGCGAACGGCUGAGCAACACGUAGGUGACCUGCCCCGAAGUGGGGGAUAACUCCUCGAAAGAGGAGCUAAUACCGCAUGUGACCACCCGUUCAUUCGGGUGUUCAAGGUCGCAAGACGCUUUGGGAGGGGCCCGCGGCGGAUUAGCUAGUUGGUGGGGUAAUGGCCUACCAAGGCCGCGAUCCGUAGCUGGUCUGAGAGGAUGGCCAGCCAGACUGGGACUGAGACACGGCCCAGACUCCUACGGGAGGCAGCAGUUAGGAAUUUUGCGCAAUGGGGGAAACCCUGACGCAGCCACGCCGCGUGCGGGAUGAAGGCCUUCGGGUCGUAAACCGCUUUUAUCGAGGAAGACACCCGACGGUACUCGAUGAAUAAGGGACGGCUAACUACGUGCCAGCAGCCGCGGUAAUACGUAGGUCCCGAGCGUUGUCCGGAUUUACUGGGCGUAAAGCGCGCGCAGGCGGCUCCGCAAGUCCAAGGUGAAAGCUCCCGGCCCAACUGGGAGAGGCCCUUGGAAACUGCGGAGCUCGAAGGUUGGAGAGGCAGAUGGAAUUUCCGGUGUAGCGGUAAAAUGCGUAGAUACCGGAAGGAACACCAGUGGCGAAAGCGAUCUGCUGGCCAACCCUUGACGCUCAGGCGCGAAAGCCAGGGGAGCGACCGGGAUUAGAUACCCCGUUAGUCCUGGCUGUAAACGAUGGGCACUAGGUGUUGUCGGUAUCGACCCCGGCAGUGCCGUAGCUAACGCAUUAAGUGCCCCGCCUGGGGAGUACGGCCGCAAGGCUAAAACUCAAAUGAAUUGACGGGG
rnacentral:rRNA from 1 species